rnacentral:rRNA from 1 species
AUGGGCUUCCACUGCUGGGGGCGGGCCUCGACCUCACCGUUCAGCACCGCGAGCGCCCGCUUCACCUGCCUCACUGCCUCGGCGUCGGUGGUGGCCAGGUCGAAGCGGGCGACCACCCCGAGGGCCUGCAUCAUGGCCUCCUGCCGCAGCUGGGUGUCAUCGACGUCGUCCGCAGCGGCCACUGGGCUGGCGCUGCUGCUGGUGGAGAGCGCAAGCACGACGAAGAAGAAGAGAAGGUGGAAGUGGAACCUGGCCAUGGCAGCUAAGUACAGUACUGUACACCUAUCCAUCUCCUUAACAAGGACGCUAAGUAUAUAUGAUGUGAUGGCAGUUGCAACGCCGAUCGCAUUGCACAACUGA